rnacentral:rRNA from 1 species
CGUGCCAGCAGCCGCGGUAAUACGUAGGUGGCAAGCGUUAUCCGGAAGUAUUGGGCGUAAAGCGCGCGUAGGCGGUUUUUUAAGUCUGAUGUGAAAGCCCACGGCUCAACCGUGGAGGGUCAUUGGAAACUGGAAAACUUGAGUGCAGAAGAGGAAAGUGGAAUUCCAUGUGUAGCGGUGAAAUGCGCAGAGAUAUGGAGGAACACCAGUGGCGAAGGCGACUUUCUGGUCUGUAACUGACGCUGAUGUGCGAAAGCGUGGGGAUCAAACAGGAUUAGAUACCCUGGUAGUCCACGCCGUAAACGAUGA